UACUGAUGGUAAUAGGGAGGAGGUGAGGGCAAUCCAGGCCGACCUGAAGGUGAAGCUCAGGGAGGCUAAGGAGAAGUACAGGAGGAAGCUGGAGUGGAAACUCCAGUGUGUGUGUGUGUGUGUGACGCUCUGAUUGUUCACCUGAACAAAAAACGUGUCUAAAACAAGAAAGUACUAAUGAAUGAUAAAAACGUGUGUAAAUGUUUGUGUUUGUGCAGUAGGGGGUCACUCAGGGUCACAGUGUGUGUGUGCUGCAGAAGUGAUGAGUCAGUCCAGAUGAGUUCAGUUUUAUUUCAUGUUGUGUAAUGUUUUGUACCGUGUGGUGCAUUCAGUGUCUCAGUGUUUCCCUGACUGAACCCCGAGCUGUGUGUGUAGAGGUGUGUGUGUGUGUGUGUGUGUGUGUGUGUGUGUGUGUGUGUGUGUGUGUGUGUGUGUGUGCGCUUAUACUUACAGGUAAACCCAGCCUCAGUGUGUGUGCGUGUGUGUGUGUGUGUGUGUGUGUAGAGGUGUGUGCUUAUACUUACAGGUAAACCCAACCUCAGUGUGUGUGUGUGUGUGUGUGUGUGUGUGUGUGACGCUCUGAUUGUUCACCUGAACAAAAAACGUGUCUAAAACAAGAAAGUACUAAUGAAUGAUAAAAACGAGUAAAUAAAUAUUACAUACGCAUCCUUCAUCUCAGACAGAAGCGAAAGCAGAGGAACAUUUUUACGUAGGUCUGUGGGUAACGUCGAUUUUGCGCCACCCUGUGGUCAUAGCAGGUACUCCACGGUCUCAUACAGAUCCAAGACUGCCACUGAAAAAGUUAAUGUCUCAUGUUUUGAUGACAUGAUCAUUUUUUCUCACAAAAAGGGACUUUUAUGGCUACAAGGGCUGUUAGCUGGUUAAUGUAACUUCAGUGAACACGUUAGCUUACUGCAGUAGCUGAUCAGAGGACAAGCAGACCUCGGAAGUAAACCUGGAAGCUAGAAAACUUUUUUGGAGCAGUUCUCAUUUGAAUGAAAAGCCAUUGAGAGAUUUUUUUGUCUGCAUUUAGAUGAAGAAAGUUCAGACACAUCCAUGCAUCCAUUUUCUGCCGCUUAUCCCGGGCCGGGUCGUGGUGGCAGCAGGCUGAGCGAGGACGUCCCCGGCAGAUGAGAUGUAUAAUCUCUCUAGUGCGUUCUGGGCCAACCCCCAGGGUCUCCUGCCGAGCUCCCUUCCGGAUAUCAGUGUUGAUGAAGGCAUCCUGGACUUGCCUGAUAAGACCUCAGAGACGAUGGUUCCCCUGGCAACGCCAUGUGUCCCUGUGACACUGUGAGGCUUCAGCAACUUCUCUGUGAAUCUUAUCGAACCAGAGUUCAUAUAAACAGCUGCAGCAGCUUUUCUAACCAACUCCUCGCCCAUGUUCAGGAUACAUGAUCAUCAUGUGUGCAGACUUUCUGUACUUUUGGCUCUCUGUUCAGAGGGUUGUACUUCCGCACCAAGUGGACUGAUUGUGACCAAUAUAAGAAAACGACUAUGCAAGAGGAGACUCUCCCUCCUACAGAGAACACAGAGACACUGAGGAACCAGACCUGGACCAGGACCAGAUUGCAAAGCCAGGAUAAAGAGGUUCAGUGAAUGUGGUGUUGAAGGUGUGGAGGUGGAUCAGUGUGUCAGAGGA